rnacentral:rRNA from 1 species
AGAGUUUGAUCCUGGCUCAGAAUGAACGCUGGCGGCAGGCCUAAAACAUGCAAGUCGAACGCUGUAGCAAUACAGAGUGGCGCACGGGUGAGUAACAUGUGGGAACAUACCUUUUGGUACGGAACAACUUUUGGAAACGAAAGCUAAUACCGUAUAGUCCCUUCGGGGUAAAGAUUUAUCGCCAAGAGAAUGGCCCGCACUAGAUUAGCUAGUUGGUAAGGUAACGGCUCUACCAAGGCGACGAUCUAUAGCUGAUUUGAGAGGAUGAUCAGCCACACUGGGACUGAGACACGGCCCAGACUCCUACGGGAGGCAGCAGUUAGGAAUCUUGGACAAUGGGCGUAAGCCUGAUCCAGCCAUGCCGCGUGAGUGAUGAAGGCCUUCGGGUUGUAAAGCUCUUUAGCUCGCGAAUAUAAUGACUGUAGCGAGAGAAUAAGCCCCGGCUAACUUCGUGCCAGCAGCCGCGGUAAUACGAGGGGGGCGAGCGUUAUUCGGAAUCACUGGGCGUAAAGCGUACGUAGGCGGUUAUGAAAGUUAGAAGUGAAAGCCCAGGGCUCAACCUUGGAAUUGCUUUUAAUACUCCAUGACUUGAAUUCGGGAGAGGAUAGUGGAAUUAUCAGUGUAGCAGUGAAAUGCGUAGAUAUUGAUAGGAACACCAGUGGCGAAGGCGACUAUCUGGACCGACAUUGACGCUGAGGUACGAAAGCGUGGGGAGCAAACAGGAUUAGAUACCCUGGUAGUCCACGCCGUAAACGAUGUGUGCUUGUUGUCGGGAGGUUUACCUCUCGGUGACGGAGCUAACGCAUUAAGCACACCGCCUGGGAAGUACGGUCGCAAGAUUAAAACUCAAAGGAAUUGACGGGGACCCGCACAAGCGGUGGAGUAUGUGGUUUAAUUCGUUAAUCCGCGAAAAACCUUACCAGACCUUGACAUACCAAUUAAGAGAAAUGGAGACAUUUUUUAUCAGUUCGGCUGGAUUGGAUACAGGUGAUGCAUGGCUGUCGUCAGCUCGUGUCGUGAGAUGUUAGGUUAAGUCCUGCAACGAGCGCAACCCCUUUCAUUAGUUGCCAUCAGGUUAUGCUGGGAACUCUAAUGAUACUGCCGGUGAUAAGCCGGAGGAAGGCGGGGAUGACGUCAAGUCCUCAUGUCCCUUAUGGUCUGGGCUACACACGUACUACAAUGGCGGUGACAGAGGGCUGCGAGAUCGCGAGAUCAAGCAAAUCCCUAAAAGCCGCCUCAGUUCAGAUUGUGCUCUGCAACUCGAGCACAUGAAGUUGGAAUCGCUAGUAAUCGUGGAUCAGCAUGCCACGGUGAAUACGUUCCCGGGUCUUGUACACACCGCCCGUCAAGUGAUGGGAAUUGGUUUCACCCGAAGCCGGCGCGCUAACCGCAAGGAAGCAACCGACCACGGUGGGAUCAGUGACUGGCACUAAGUCGAAACAAGGUA